ACCAGUCGCCAACCUCCAGCCCGGCCGAGGUCAUGCCCGCCUGCCCCCAGCGCCGGCGAGGCCCCCUCCCGGUGCCAGGCAGCCCGCCGGAGAAGCGCUGGCAGAGAAGGGGGUCCGUGGCAGAGUUGGCACCCGGACUCACCAGCUUUAGGAAAAGAAUCAUCUUCAAAGGAGAUGCUGGACGUUUUCAUGCUGAUGGAGCCAGCACACCGGCAGCCUGCAGGGAAAGCACCUGGACCACUCAGGAAUAGCUGGGGCCUUGGGGGUAGCAUCCACCUGCUGUUUGUCUCGUGUCUGGUUGUUUCAGCAGUACAUCUGAACUUCAGGACAAAAGAAAGGAUGUUGGACUUCAGCUCACAAUAGCUGCCUGCAUGUUUCUUUUCCAGUAUCUGUUCAAACACCCAAGAACAUUCCAAAAGGAUGCCAGGACAUGAAGGAGACAAGAGUCAGGAUGCAGAAUAGAGCAUUUAGAUUCUUGACGAAGUUGUCCCUAACACAGGAGCAAGGAUGAGCACCUCCUGCCUUUGUAGGAAGGCAGAAGGUAGCUCUGUAUAGGAAUCCAGGCUGGCUUCUCAACCAGAAAGCCUGAAAGAUCCCCCCUGACCCACCGUACACCCUACAUUCUCAUCUUGCUGGGUCUACCUGUGCAGCUAUAGCUCCCAGCAAUGCACCAUGGGACUUGGUGAAGGGAAAGCUAAUUGUGGAGUAAGUCCUAAAAUGCAAAUGAAAUCAGGAGAUUUUUCAUAUGGAUAAUGUGGACCACAUUGUAGUUGUUAUUUGAUGCCAUAUACUAGCAAGCCAACCUAUAACUUAGUGGUCUAAAACAAUGAUACUGACUUGACCAAUCUUUAUUCUUCAGUCAGAACUGGAGAGCCUAGACUGGUUGUCAGCUAAGAGAGCUGGAAGGCUAGGCCAGGGGAUCCUGUGGCUUCUCAUUUGGAUUUUUAUGACUUUAUCUUGGCCUAGGAAGACUGAAAUUCCUGGGGAUAAGAACAGCUGUUAGUUAUUCUGGUAUUAUCCUGUUAGUUAUUUUGCUUGUUGUCAUGAUGAACUUCCUGGUAAGAUGCUACUUAAGGAGCUUACUUGACUUGCUAUUGGAGGUUCUACAGUAUCUCAUGGCAGGUGCAGCAGGUAUGGCUGCACACAUUGCAUCCAUAAUCAGUAAGCAGAAAGUGGACAGGAAAUCCUCAAGGCUUGUCCACAGUGGCCCACUUCCUCCCAGGAGGCUCUGCCUCCUAAAACUCCCAAACCUUCCCACUCGGCACCACCAGCUGGAGACUAAGUGUUCAAAACAAUAAGCCUAUGGGAGAACAUUUUCACAUUCAAACUAUAUCAACCUCCCUGGACAAAUAAUAACAGAAGGCAAAUUUGAGCUUAAUUGAAAAAGAAACACAUAGGCAAUUUAAAAUACUGCACCACAUUUUCAGCAAAAAUGCCAAAUAAAAAUGCACAGACAUAAUCAUGAAAAUUUGUUUGCAUAUAAAAGAUACUUUUAAAACAAUUCUACAAACAUCCAGAGAAAAAUACAAAUGCUACUACUUAGGAUAAAAAUGAAGCACAGUGAGUUGACAAUACAGCCCAAGAAUAGAUGCCCCCAAAGAGCACAGUGUAAGUGGUAUUGGGAGGAAACACGUGUGACCAAAAUGUCAAUUUGUGAAGAUGACGGUGCAAAGAGAAGCAAUCUAAUGAAGAUCUGAUCAAAAGACUCCCUUCUGUACUUUCACGCUAAAGCCAAAAGAUCCUCUCUAAGGAAGCAGCAUGUAAGAGACAAAAAAACUCAUGAAUAGCAGAGACACAUUCAAAAUUAUUGUGACAGUUCCAGACAAACACACCAAAUUAGGUUUUAAAAUGUUGAAAAAAUAUUAGGAUAAAUACAUUUUUUUGCUUUCUUGAGAUUACUAUAAACAAACACAGUAAUUUAUUUGUCUAUGGUUUAAAUGAUGUUGACAGAAAUGUGGGAAAUGGAUGCUCUGAAGAAAGGGGAGGAUUGGUUGGCUUUCCAUUGGUAGAGUGGUUACCUCGGCACACACAGAACCCAAAUGCCAUCCCAGAACCACAAAUACCAUAGAUCCAAGGUCAUCCUCGGCUACAUAGUAAGUUUGGGGUCAGCCAAGGCUACAUGAGGCCUUUCGAGAGGAAGGAAAUUCUUCAUCUUUUCAACGAGGGUGUCAAAGUUUCUGUAUUACUGAUGGGCUCCAUCUCCAUGGCAUACACCUGGAACCCUGUGGAGAGGCAAAGGCAGGACGGCAAGUAUGAGGCCAGCUUGAGCUGCAGCAUAAGCUCGAUCUCAAUAAAGGUUGUAGGCUUGGUAGCCACACAUCUGUAAUCCCAUUGUUAGGAAAGCAGGGGCUUCUAGUUCAGUGCCAGUUUGUGGUACCUGGUGAGUUUCAGGCCAGCCUGGGAUACAUAGAAAGAACUUGUGAGGCGAAAUGGAAGUUAUAUUAUUCAUAAACUUGGCCAUUAGAGAAUCUAUGCACUUAGGAUGAUCAUAAACAAAAAAAUCUUAAAUUCAGCCAAGUGGUGAGGCACAUGCCUUAAAUCUCAGUACUGGGGAGGCAGAUGCAGGUGGAUCUCUUUGAGUUUGAGGCCUGCCUGGUCUACAGAGUGAGUUCCAAGACAGCUUGGAACUAAACAAACAAAAACUAAACAAACAAAUAAAAAUCUUAAAUUCAGGGGCCAGAGAGAUUGGGAGAUUGUACUCUCUGUGAACCUGUGAGGCAUUAUCUUGAUUAUGUGAACCGAUGUAGGGAGUUCCAUCUUAAUAAUGAAAUGGGUAACUUCCUUGGCAGGGGAUGCUGGCCUGAAUGAAGUGGAGAAGGGAAGCUGGUCCCUAGCUUUCAUUAGUCCCUUUCUCUUCCCAGACUGUGAUGCAAUGUGACCAGCUCUCUGAGGCUGAUGCAGCCUUGACUUCCCCACCAGGAUGGACUCUGCCUUGAACUGUAAGCCCAUCCCCACUCCAGCUGCCUUCCUUGGAGUUGUAUCUUAGUUACAUUUCUCUAUUCCCUUUCUUCCCUCCAAAUCUUCCCGUAUAUCUUUCCCCACUUUUCUUCAAAGCCAUGACCUCAUUUUCCAUCAGUUGUGGUAUUUUGUUCCAGCAAUGAGAAAAGAAACCAAGAUGCAUACAAAACUGGGGAAAAUAAAAAUCGAGGGAAUAGUAAGAUAGCACGGUGGGCUUCUGAGUCAGAGACUGAGAUUCAGAAUGCCAUGUUACUCUGUCUCACUAGCUUUUGUCUGGCUGAUACUUAGAGCCUGAGUUAUCUUGUCUGCAAAACGAAGAACUUGGGUCACUCUAGAAAAUAUGCAAAGGCAAACAGAAAACAAAACUGAAAAGUGGAAAAAGCAUAUAAGAGUAAACAGGGGGUCUUUAUUAAUUAUGAAAAUACUAUUUGAGAAACAUCACAUAACUUUGAGAAGCUGAAGCAAAUGAAUGUUUUCAUGACAAAUUGAGCCUGACUCUAAGAGAGGUCAUGAACUUGAUAUCCUCACACAAUGAUUCACCUGUGUCUGCAUUUUUGGAGUUACAGGUGUGCUGCCACCAGAUUUUAUGUGAGUAUUGUUAGUAUUCAGGCAAAUGGGGUUCUGACAGGAUAAGCCCUCAGCUGCAGCCACUAAGAGCACUACCUGUGCAUAUUCACUACGUUCCCUUUCAAAAGGGCCCUGCCUGCCUCCCAUCCUCCUCUCUUUCCCUCUCUCUGUCCGUCUGUUCCCCCUCUUUCUCCUCUCCUCUCUCUCACUCUUUCCUCUCUACUGCUGUUUCUGUCUCCAGAGGCUGGGUUCUCUAACCCUUUUCAUGAUCCCUUUCACUAAUGUGAAUCCCCUCUGCUUGAACCCUGUUGAAUGGUGUCUUUCUCUCACACACAACUUUUCUUAAAUUACAACAUGUACUAGGGAGCUGAACCUGGGCCUUCAUGCUUGUGAAGUAAGCACUUUGCUUAACGACCUCUCUCUCCAGCACAUGACAUAUAAUUUCUAAAAGUUAAAAGCAUACCUUUAAAAAGAAAAAUUGAAACAGUUAACCAGUGGGCAUAUCCUUCUAGAUAUUAAAGCAUCAUCAUCAAUAAAUGGAAUUGAAUAUUACUAACUCAGAGAGUGGCCUGCAGAUCGACAGGAUAGAGCAACCACCCUGAACUAGACUCUAGCAUCAUUCCCAGCUGAGUAAAAGAAACCCAGCAACAGCAAAUUUUUUAAAAAGUGGAGAACGAAAUAAUAUUCAUCAAAUAACUAGGAAAAUUGAUGAGCUCAAACCACAGCCUCACCAUGAUCACAGCCUCAAACCAAACAAUAAAAACAGAUGGAUUAAAGAACCACACAUAGAUGAACCAUUUUUAAAAAUUAAUGGCUCUCUGGUGAAGAAAAGGCAUUCUAAGAAAAAAAAGCCAUGCAAGUAAUUACCAAGGAAACGCUAGACAGAUUUUACUCUGACACCAUUAAAACUGCUAAAUGCUCUACCUCAGGAAAUGUGACUCGAAACAAUCAAAUGACAAAUCAGGAAAAGUUGUUGAAGCAGCAAGGCAGAUGGAGGAUAUCUUUAAAUGAACACAGAAUGCCCUCGUUCAAAUCAAUAAAUAAAAUCCUAAUACUGCAGGGAUAUACAGGCAAGAGCCACCCAGAACAUGGAAAGAAAUGCAAAGUCUAGUACACGUGAAAUAAAAAUGCCCUCAUAACUAAUCAAA